rnacentral:rRNA from 1 species
GUGAAAAGCACCCCGGAAGGGGAGUGAAAUAGAACCUGAAACCGUGUGCCUACAAGCAGUAGGAGGGCCUAAGGGCCUGACUGCGUACUUUUUGUAGAACGGACCGGCGAGUUACGAUUGGCAGCAAGGUUAAGGGCCUAAGGCCCAAAGCCGCAGCGAAAGCGAGUCUGAUAAGGGCGAAGAGUUGUCAGUCGUAGACCCGAAACCGGGUGAUCUAUCCAUGGCCAGGGUGAAGCUAAGCUAACCCUUAGUGGAGGCCCGAACCACGUUGACGUUGAAAAGUCAUGGGAUGAGCUGUGGAUAGGGGUGAAAAGCCAAUCGAACCCGGAGAUAGCUGGUUCUCCCCGAAAUAGCUUUAGGGCUAGCCUCAAAGGCGAGAGUAUUGGAGGUAGAGCACUGAUUGGGCUAGGGGCCCACCAAGGUUACUGACCCCAUUCAAACUCCGAAUGCCAAUACUUGUUCUUUGGGAGUCAGACUGCGGGGGAUAAGCUUCGCAGUCGAGAGGGAAACAGCCCAGACCGACAGCUAAGGUCCCCAAGUGCGAGCUAAGUGGUGAAGGAUGUGGGAUUGCAUAGACAACCAGGAUGUUGGCUUAGAAGCAGCCAUCAUUGAAUGAGUGCGUAAUAGCUCACUGGUCGAGUGGUCCUGCGCCGAAAAUAACCGGGGCUAAGCUCGUCACCGAAGCUUCGGCAGGAGUUAAAACUCCUGGGUAGGGGAGCAUUGCAUGUGCACCGAAGCCGUAUCGCAAGGUAUGGUGGAGCGCAUGGAAGAGAGAAUGCCGGUAUGAGUAGCGAAAAGAGGGGUGAGAAUCCCCUCCGCCGAAAGCCUAAGGUUUCCUGAGGAAGGUUCGUCCGCUCAGGGUAAGUCGGGACCUAAGCCGAGGCCGAAAGGCGUAGGUGAUGGAUAACCGGUUGAGAUUCCGGUACCACCAGGAUGCCGUUUGAGUGACGGGGUGACACAGGGAGGCAGACCAUCAGGCGGAUGGAAGAGCCUGUCCAAGCGUGUAGGGAGUGCUGCAGGCAAAUCCGCAGCAUAAUCCCGAGGCGUGAAGGGGAGCGAAAUUAAAGUAGCGGAACUGGUCGUACCUGCACUGUCAAGAAAAGCCUCUAGCGAGGCAUCUGGUGCCCGUACCGCAAACCGACACAGGUAGGCGGGGAGAGAAUCCUAAGGCGCGCGAGAGAACCCCUGUUAAGGAACUCGGCAAAAUGACUCCGUAACUUAGGGAGAAGGAGUGCCCCAUUAGGGUGAAGAGCCUAGCGCUUUGAGCCCGAAGGGGUCGCAGAGGAGAGGCCCAAGCGACUGUUUAACAAAAACACAGGUCUCUGCUAAGUCGCAAGACGAAGUAUAGGGGCUGACGCCUGCCCAAUGCCGGAAGGUUAAGGGGAACAGUUAGCUAAGGCGAAGCUGUGAACCGAAGCCCCGGUCAAUGGCGGCCGUAACUAUAACGGUCCUAAGGUAGCGAAAUUCCUUGUCGGGUAAGUUCCGACCUGCACGAAUGGCGUAACGACUUGGGCGCUGUCUCGAUGGGGGACUCGGCGAAAUUGUACUGCCCGUGAAGAUGCGGGUUACCUGCGAUUAGACGGAAAGACCCCGUGGAGCUUUACUGCAGCCUGGUAUUGGAUUUUGGGAUGUGAUGUAUAGGAUAGGUGGGAGGCGUGGAAGCAUGGGCGCCAGCCUGUGUGGAGCCGCAAGUGGAAUACCACUCUUCAGAUUCCGGAGUUCUAACCUGGCGCCAUAAUCUGGCGUGGAGACAGUAUCAGGUGGGCAGUUUGACUGGGGCGGUCGCCUCCUAAAGGGUAACGGAGGCGUCCAAAGGUUCCCUCAGUGCGGUUGGAAAUCGCACGCAAAGAGUGUAAAGGCAGAAGGGAGCUUGACUGCGAGACAUACAUGUCAAGCAGGGACGAAAGUCGGGCUUAGUGAUCCGGUGGUUCUGAGUGGAAAGGCCAUCGCUCAACGGAUAAAAGCUACCCCGGGGAUAACAGGCUUAUCUCCCCCAAGAGUCCACAUCGACGGGGAGGUUUGGCACCUCGAUGUCGGCUCGUCGCAUCCUGGGGCUGAAGUAGGUCCCAAGGGUUGGGCUGUUCGCCCAUUAAAGC